CCUACGGGAGGCAGCAGUAAGGAAUAUUGGUCAAUGGACGAAAGUCUGAACCAGCCAUGCCGCGUGAAGGAUUAAGGCCCUCUGGGUUGUAAACUUCUUUUAUCUGGGACGAAAAAAGGGUAUUCUUACUCACUUGACGGUACCAGAGGAAUAAGCACCGGCUAACUCCGUGCCAGCAGCCGCGGUAAUACGGAGGGUGCAAGCGUUAUCCGGAUUUACUGGGUUUAAAGGGUGCGUAGGUGGGUCUGUAAGUCAGUGGUGAAAUCUCCGAGCUUAACUCGGAAACUGCCAUUGAUACUAUAGGUCUUGAAUUAUCUGGAGGUAAGCGGAAUAUGUCAUGUAGCGGUGAAAUGCUUAGAUAUGACAUAGAACACCAAUUGCGAAGGCAGCUUACUACGGAUAUAUUGACACUGAGGCACGAAAGCGUGGGGAUCAAACAGGAUUAGAUACCCUGGUAGUCCACGCCCUAAACGAUGGAUACUCGACAUCAGCGAUACACUGUUGGUGUCUGAGCGAAAGCAUUAAGUAUCCCACCUGGGAAGUACGAUCGCAAGAUUGAAACUCAAAGGAAUUGACGG
rnacentral:rRNA from 1 species